GUUGCGUCCCGGGGACUUGGGGCCGCAGGGAGCUGUGAGUACCCAGGAAGCUGCACCGUGUGGCCUGGAGCCGUCUAUCUGUCCUUCCAGCCACCUGUCUGUCCAGCCACCCUUCCACAGACUGAGGCUUGACGCCGGAGCAUCUGUACAGAGCAAGGAGAAGACAAGAACAUGCUCUAAAGCCCUUCACAGCAAGACCCAGGAAGCCGCGGGCAAACUCAGACUCGAAGCCCUCCCGCCUCCUGCCCACAAUGGCCUCUGCUGACAAGAAUGGCGGGAGCGUGUCCUCUGUGUCCAGCAGCCGCCUGCAGAGCCGGAAGCCACCCAACCUCUCCAUCACCAUCCCGCCACCCGAGAAAGAGACCCAGGCCCCUGGCGAGCAGGACAGCAUGCUGCCUGAGGGGCGCAGCCCAGUGGUUUGGAGUCAGCGGCGACUGGGAGGGGCAGCGGCAGCACUGGCAGCGCCGCAGCCUGCACCACUGCAGCGUGCGCUACGGCCGCCUGAAGGCCUCGUGCCAGCGUGACCUGGAGCU
rnacentral:sRNA from 1 species